rnacentral:rRNA from 1 species
AAAGACUUGACGGUACUUCACACCAACCUAGAGGAGCCUGUCUAAUAACCGAUGCUCCACGAUUAACCCCACCCACUCUAGCCUUAACAGUCUAUAUACCGCCGUCGCCAGCUUACCUUGUGAAAGUAAUAAAGUGAGCAAAACAGGUCACCCCUAACACGACAGGUCGAGGUGUAACUUAUGAGUGGGUAAAAGAUGGGCUACACUUUCUAACCCAGAAAACACGAAUAAACUAUGAAACUAGAAACUGAAGGCGGAUUUAGCAGUACGAUAAGAAUAAAAUACUUA